rnacentral:rRNA from 1 species
CCUACGGGAGGCAGCAGUGGGGAAUAUUGGACAAUGGGCGCAAGCCUGAUCCAGCCAUGCCGCGUGAGUGAUGAAGGCCUUAGGGUUGUAAAGCUCUUUUGUCCGGGACGAUAAUGACGGUACCGGAAGAAUAAGCCCCGGCUAACUUCGUGCCAGCAGCCGCGGUAAUACGAAGGGGGGCUAGCGUUGCUCGGAAUCACUGGGCGUAAAGGGCGCGUAGGCGGCCAUUCAAGUCGGGGGUGAAAGCCUGUGGCUCAACCGACAGAACUUGCCUUCGAUACUGUUUGGCUUGAGUAUGGUAGAGGUCGGUGGAACUGCGAGUGUAGAGGUGAAAUUCGUAGAUAUUCGCAAGAACACCAGUGGCGAAGGCGGCCGACUGGACCAUUACUGACGCUGAGGCGCGAAAGCGUGGGGAGCAAACAGGAUUAGAUACCCGUGGUAGUCCACGCCGUAAACGAUGAAUGCUAGCUGUUGGGGUGCUGUCACCUCAGUAGUCGC